rnacentral:rRNA from 1 species
UACAGAGGGGGCAAGCGUUGUUCGGAAUUACUGGGCGUAAAGGGCGCGUAGGCGGCCUGUUUAGUCGAACGUGAAAUCCCCGGGCUCAACCCGGGAACUGCGUCCGAAACUGGCAGGCUCGAAUCCGGGAGAGGGAUGCGGAAUUCCAGGUGUAGCGGUGAAAUGCGCAGAUAUCAGGAGGAACACCGGUGGCGAAGGCGGAUCUCUGGGCCUUACCUGACGCUCAGGCGCGAAAGCUAGGGGAGCGAACAGG